rnacentral:rRNA from 1 species
UACGUAGGGUGCGAGCGUUAAUCGGAAUUACUGGGCGUAAAGCGUGCGCAGGUGGUUUGUUAAGUCAGAUGUGAAAGCCCUGGGCUUAACCUAGGAAUUGCGUUUGAAACUGGCGAGCUAGAGUCUGUCAGAGGGGGGUAGAAUUCCAUGUGUAGCAGUGAAAUGCGUAGAGAUGUGGAGGAAUAUCGAUGGCGAAGGCAGCCCCCUGGGAUAAGACUGACGCUCAUGCACGAAAGCGUGGGGAGCAAACAGGAUUAGAUACCCUGGUAGUCCACGCCCUAAACGAUGUCGACUGGUUGUUGGGCAACUUGAUUGUUCAGUAACGAAGCUAACGCGAGAAGUCGACCGCCUGGGGAGUACGGUCGCAAGAUUAAAACUCAAAGGAAUUGACGGGGACCCGCACAAGCGGUGGAUGAUGUGGAUUAAUUCGAUGCAACGCGAAAAACCUUACCUACCCUUGACAUGUAUGGAAUUCUGCUGAGAGGUGGAAGUGCCUGAAAGGGAACCAUAACACAGGUGCUGCAUGGCUGUCGUCAGCUCGUGUCGUGAGAUGUUGGGUUAAGUCCCGCAACGAGCGCAACCCUUGUUAUUAAUUGCCAUCAUUUAGUUGGGCACUUUAAUAAGACUGACGGUGAUAAACCGUAGGAAGGUGGGGAUGACGUCAAGUCCUCAUGGCCCUUAUGGGUAGGGCUUCACACGUCAUACAAUGGUCGGUACAGAGGGUAGCCAACCCGCGAGGGGGAGCCAAUCUCAGAAAGCCGAUCGUAGUCCGGAUUGUUCUCUGCAACUCGAGAGCAUGAAGUCAGAAUCGCUAGUAAUCGCGGAUCAGCAUGUCGCGGUGAAUACGUUCCCGGGUCU